UCCCUUCGCGUCCAGCGUCCCCUGAGCGAGGAGAAGCCGGGCAGGGAUUGUCCCGCCGCCACAGCAGAGUUGCGUGGCAAACCUCCCGUCUCUGGUCGCCCCUGGGCAGAAGGAAUGACCUCCCGCAGCAGCGGGCGGGGCCGUGGGGGGCUGUGGGUGCUGCAGCCUUUCACAAACGCUGAGGAGAGAAAGCGGGAGUCUCCUCAGGGCUCUGACCUGGACUCCUGUGACCUUGGGCGACCUUUGCUCAUGGAAGGAUUUGUUGACCUCCUCAGGUUCUGGCCAUUAAGUUUAAUGUCUCUUGUUUUCCCAUCUGUAAAAUGGAGAUGGACUGUCAAGCUAAUAGGGAUAUAGGGAGGUUUCACUAAUACUUGCAAAGCACCAUCCAUAAUGCAAAGGGGAGUCCUGCUGACUGACCAGAACCUGUAUGCUGGGCAGUGUACAAAUGCAACACAAAAAGAUGGUCCCGAAGUGUUUACAACCUAAUGAGGAGAUGGUUGGACUGCACAUGAAGAGUUCACAGAUGUGAAUCAUGCCACUUUCUCCAACACUUCUAAAAAUGUCAUCAGUAAAACACACCUGAAAAAAAUCAGAGUAUUUGAACACGUCACUUUGAUUAUAAGUUAAGAGAAAGAUUUAUUAUCUGUAUCUUUAGCAUAUUGUAAAUCUGUCCUUAACAGAUUUUUUAAAGUCCCUUGACAAUGUGUGUUUAUAUACGUAUUUGUCAAAAGGACUAGAUUCCUUUAAAAGCAUUCAUCUAGCCAGUUCACUUAUUAAAAUCUCUUCUCUUG